GGUGGACCACAGGCCUACCCAGCCUGGAGCUCCAGGAAAAGCAACUGGCAAAUACCAGAAUUUGGGUGUGUGUGGUCUACUCUUGGCUGCUUUUAGCAAGAUAUUAAAAGAAAGAGGGAGCUCAGAAAAGAAUGGCCUGAUUUUAUUUGGAGUCCUAAACGGAACUGGUGGAAUUGUGUGUGUGUGUGUGUUGCUAUAAAUGUCCAGCCCAGUGGGAAUACAAAGAGAAAGCAUAUGAGAAUUACUGGGUCACUGCCUACUGGAGUUGUGAGAAGAGGGCCACAGUCCUCCAGACCCCAGAAUGGUAGAUCCACCGACAGCUUGCACUGUAUUCCUGGAAAAGCCUCAGACGUUCAACGCCAGCCUGUGAAAGCAGCCAGGAGUGGGGCUGUACCCUGCAAAGCCACAGAGGCAGAGCUGCCCAAGGCCAUGGGAGCCCACCUCUUGCCUCAGCGUGACCUAAAUGUGAGACAUGGAGUCAAAGGAGAUCAUUUUGUAACUUUAAGAUUUAAUAGUUGCCCUAUUGGAUUUUGGACUUAGAUGGAGCCUGUAGCCCCUUUGUUUUGGCCAAUUUCUCCCAUUUGGAAUGGGUGUAUUUACCCAAUGCCUGUACCCCCAUUGUAUCUAGGAAGUAACUAACUUGCUUUUGAUUUUACAGGCUCAUAGGCAGAAGGGAGUUGCCUUGUCUCAGAUGAGACUUUGGACUUGGACUUUUGAGUUAAUGCUGUAAUGAGUUAAGACUUUAGGGGACUGUUGGAAGGGUGAUGAUUGUGUUUUGAAAUGUGAGGGCAUGAGAUUUGGGAGGGGCCGGGGCAGAAUGAUAUGAUUUGGCUGUGUCCCCACCCAAAUCUCAUCUUGAAUUGUAUUUUCCAUAAUCCCCACAUGUCAUGGGAGGGACUUGGUGGGAGGGACCCCGUGGGAGGUAAUUGAAUCUUGGGGGAAGUUACCCCCAUGCUGCUGUUCUUGUGAUAGUGAGUGAGGCUUUCUCCCUUUUGCUCAGCACUUCUCCUUUCUGCCGUUAUGUGAAGAAGGUUAUGUUUGCUUCCCCUUCUGCCAUGAUUGUAAGUUUCCUGAGGCCUUCCCACCCACGCAGAACUGUGAGUCAAUU
rnacentral:lncRNA from 10 species